ensembl:lncRNA
ACUCACGUAUGAGUCAUCUGCUUACGUAGACAGCGAACAGCAAGUUUCUGUCCUAACUUUAGCAUAAAGUCACAUUGAGAAGAAAUACGUGCGCUAGGCAGCUAAUUAUGGUGUUGUGGAUUAUUUCAAACAUUUCCCAGGAAAAGGCAGAAAUGACACGGAGGACCAGGCGCCUGUGAUGAAAUGAGACCGGCUAUUAGUUACAUUGCAGGUGUUGCCUUGCAGCAUGGAUCUAAUGUCUCAACCUUCUGUCCCAGCGAAAGGGCAGCGUGUCCUUACGAAGCUACGCAAGGGUCUCACGACAACAAAAACCCAACAAAGUGAAGAGAAUGACAGAGCUGAAUCUUACCAGGCCAACGGUAGCAGGUUGUGUUGCCUUUUUUCACCAGUUGACGUCCACCGACUUGGCAGUUAUCUUGAGUUUGACAGUGUAUGCGGCUAAAGGGCCAUGUCUGUCUAUCUGGAUGGUUCAAUCUCUCUGGCGUUUUUCAGAUAUGAAACUCAUGUUUUUUUUGUGUGUGUUUUUUUUUUCUUGUUAGCUAACUGAACUUGUAGUCCCACCCUUUGAAUUCAAAUAAUUUGCAGUUGCUCUCUGGACCAGAUAUGAAGAGGGGCUCCAGAGAGAAAGACCCACACCCAUAAACACAUGUGUUUGGAGGAAGUUGGCUGUGGAGGAACUGGUGAAGUCAGCACGCAGAUGUUAAGGCCUUGAUAUUGUUUCUGCAAGUAACAUGAAAUCAAAAUAACCCAAUUUACUUUUCAAAUGCAUUUCUGGUCUUGCUUUGCAUGAAAAAAGGAAACAAAAUGUGGUCUUUAAACAAAAGGUACAACUUUUCUUUUUUUGGCUAACAUCCCCAUGCCCUCUUUUCAGCUCUUCUCUUUUAACCAUCUGUCUCCAUUCUGGUAGGUAACACCCACUUUUCAUUAUCCGGCCAAUUCCCAAUGGAUUAAAUGCAUUUUUUUCCCAUUGAAUAUCCAGUUUCCUUUCAAGAAAAAAAUUUGAUUGCAUAAGUAAAAUGGGUUGCAACCUCUGGAUUGCUUGUCUUGGCACAUUAAACUGGACAGGAGGUAAAAUUGUAACUUUGAAGCUUCACGGUUUAAAAGCAAUGACCAUUUAAAACCCAUCUGCUUUCAUUACCAUCUCCAAUAUCAUCUAAGUUAGGUUAUAUUCUUCAAAUUCUGGACUCAUAAUACAGAUAUUCACACUUUCUGACAGCCUGAGCCUUCGGAUCCAAGUUUUCAUUAAGUGUUCUUCUUUUACAAUCCCUCUGUUCCUGUCAAAACACUUGGCUGAACAAAGUUAAAUUUGCCGUUUCACAGAAAAGCAAUACAAAUAUCCAUUUUUUUUUUCCGCACUGCAGUGGAAGAGAAAUUUAACACUGACUCAUCUACGAAGUAACACGUUUUGAUUUGAAUACUGUGAAAUUGCUCUUUAAAAUGGUGAGAAAGAAAAUGUUUUUACAUAAAACAAGUGCGAGACACCAAGAUCUCAGCGUCCCAGGAAAUACCUCAAAUUUAUUCACAGACAAAUCCUCAAACACCCCUUAAGUUCAAGCAAAUGGCUUCAAAACAGUAUUCUGACAUUUACACAAAGUUUACUGCCAGAAAAAAAAAUGUAGAAAUAGCGUACGGGCCCAUUAGAGUGUUAAAUAAUAAACAGAUCGAACAGAAACAUAAGAAUGAGCUCAUGCGUAUUCGACAAAAUGUUUUCAAAAAGUUUUGAAUUGCUAUGAGACUGCUAAAUUAUAAAAACAGAAAAACAUAUGAAUUAGAUUAUGCAAAUUCAAUGAAAAAUUUUCAAAAACAGUAAUGGAUUACCAUGAGAAUGUUAAAUUAUAAAGCUAUAGUACAAAGACAUAAAAAUAAGAUCAUGCAAAUUUAACAAAAUGUUUUCGAAACAGUUACGAAUUGCCACAAUAGUGGGUAGAAACAAGUCUUUAUCUUAUUCAGCGUUGUUUCAGGAGUAAAUUUAUCUUGUUUCAACAUUUUUUUUUUUUUUUUUUGAAUAUUUAAAAUGCCAAAUCAGGCAAAUAUAGUCAGGUUAUUUAUGUUUAGCUACAUUUUUACGUUUUCUGAAAUAAAGUAACCAGUAUUGCCUGCUCACGACUCUAGCCAUGAUGAUGCAGAAACCUUGAACAUGAUUCAAUCCCAACUUCAAAGUAUAUUAAAGUUGCAUUUGAGUGAUAUAUACUUCGAAUGAAGGAAGGAGACAUCAACUUUCUGUUUACUGCUCUCAUCCACCUUAUUUCCCCCAAAGGGGAAGCUCUCGGUGGCGAGGGGCGGAAGGCGUUAAGGGAUCUGGAAUGGCUUUUUAAUUACAGCCAUUUUCUGCUCAGAAAUGAACUGAUGCUGGCUGUCAGCAGCCACAGAUGCCGAACAGACCGAGGGGACGCAGGCUGCACUGAGACACCCCCGCCAACUACAGCUGGAUCAUAUGGGCAAGGAUAUUAAUUACUGAGAAAACUCACGCACUGACCUGCUGCAUUCUCUGUGACUAACGGAAAGGAAAACAAUGAUCGUAGUGACUCGUUACAUUAUUUAUGACUGCCUAAUGUUCGGCACAGUCUUUGCUAAUUGUGUUUUCAAAGAAACGUAUUAGCAAAUAAAUUAAUUAGCGUGGGUGUAGGUUUCUCAGUGCAACAGUUAGUCAGUGUUCAUAUGGCCAACUACUGAAGCUCUAAUGUUAAUGAAUAGUUCAGCCAAAAAUUUAAAUGCUGUCAUUAUUUACUGACCCUCAUAUUGUUACAAACCUGUAUGGUGUUCUUUCUUUUCUGGGACACAAAAGGCAAAUUUUGAAAAACUUAAAACUACAUUAUCAUUGCUUUUUGGUGCAAAAAUGCAUUAAAAUGACUUAAAAUGUAUAAUAUGACCCCUAAAGUACUUGGCAUUUAAAUGUUGCACACAGUGCUUAUCAAUUUGUAGAGGAUGCUCAGUGAAAUAUCAAGAAGGAAAAAAUGUGCUUAGUGUGAAUACAAAUUAAUAAAAGAAAGAUUAUUGAAAUCUUCAAGGGGUUGCAGAGACAGAAUAUAUUGAUCUGAUAUCUGUUUGAUACCAAAAUCAUGCCUGUUUUUGAAAUGCCCGAACUAGACGGAUUUCGAGGCGUUGAUGUAUAUAUUGAGUUUGCAUGGCUCAGAAAAGGAUUAUAACGGGUACAUUCUGACAUCCUUAGUGAUUUCAGUCUUGUCAAAAUUAUGUCUGACAAUAUCUGUAGAAAAAAAAUAAGCAAACUGCCUAAUAAGUUUUUUAUUUGUAUUUGGAUUGUUUUUUUUUUUUACAGCCUGGAUAGGAAUGUCUCCAGUAUAUUAUCUUUUACACUUCCUUCAAAUACCGUAACUACAGCUAAAUGUUUCACUGCACUGGACCUUCAUUAUGGAUUUGGACCUUUUUGCCAACUUUCUGACUAAAAUAACAGCUGGUAAGUACUGCUGGCAUCUUACUUAGCAUAAAAAGAGAGUUAAAUCAAUAAGGAGAAUCAGAUCUACUCAGAAUUGGCACUAUAGUAGCAAUGUCAGGUAAGUCGUUUAACUCUGGUACACACAGAAUUUUUUUUGUCUUUUAUGAUUGUUUUUCGAGAUUGUACAAUGUGAUCCUGGGUAACCAGAUUGUGCGACAUCCAUAAUAUGUCAGUAUGGCAGAUUGUACAGUAUGACAUACAUUUGCUAAGAUUAUGGGUACAGUUGACAGAAUUAAAGUUCUGAACGAUACCAAUAAGCUGAUAACUAUUUUCACACCAUGGCCGAUAACCGAUACUGGCUAAAAUCCUAUACAAUUUUGUCUAAAUAAAUUAGAAAUGAAAAACAAAAAAAGUAAAAUCAAUUGUUGUAAAAGGCUAUACGUUAAUUUUAUGCAUAACAUUAUAAUGUGCAGUAGGCAAAAUUAAUUUUGUGAUUGUCUAAAGACUACUUUUAACAGUGUUAUUAAAUUAUUAAUAUUUUUUAAAAAAUACUUUGUGAACAUUAGAAGAUGAUAAAUGCGAUUUAAAAAAGCAUGCACAAUUACGGCAGUGUGAUAUGUGUAUGAUAAAUCAAAGUAAAUAAAUAAAAAAUAAUAUCGGCUGAUAACAGAUAUUGUACCGAUAUAUUGUGCAUGACUAGUCAGAACUAGUUACAAUAUACUAAGAUUUACCGCAAAAGCAAUUCUUUUUCCAAAGAUCCCUAAAACUGUCCUAAAUGCCACAGCAGUGACACAAAUUGGCUUUAGAAAAAGAAUCCUGCUUUAGUUGGUCAGAGAAAGAACUGGGAAAGCCUCUGAUAAUAAACUCUCUUCAUCUCACAUGCUGUCAUCUAUACGCUCCACAUUUUGGGCAUAAUUUACACUGAUAUUCAGCGUGUGUGUGUGUCUCUAACGCGACUGUCUGAAGCCG